rnacentral:ncRNA from 1 species
UAUGGAAACUUACUAAGUGAUAACUUUCAAAUUCAGAGAAACCCUGGAAUUAAUAAAAAUGGGCGAUCCUGAGCCAAAUCACGUUUUCCGAAAACAAACAAAGGUUCAGAAAGCGAAAAAAAAAAAGGAUAGGUGCAGAGACUCGAUGGAAGCUGUUCUAACGAAUGGAGUUGGUUGUCUUACGUUAGUGGAGGAAUCAUUCUAUCGAAACUUCAGAAAAGAUGAAGGAUAAACCUGUAUACAUAAUACAGAAGAAUUGUUUCCAAUCGAUUUCAUAUUGAAGAAAGAAUCGAAUAUUCAUUGAUCAAACCAUUCACUCCAUAAUCUGAUAGAUCUUUUGAAGAACUGAUUAAUCGGACGAGAAUAAAGAUAGAGUCCUGUUCUACAUGUCAAUACCGGCAACAAUGAAAUUUAUAGUAAGAGGAAAAUCCGUCGAUUUCAAAAAUCGUGAGGGUUCAAGUCCCUCUAUCCCCAAAAAGAGC